UACGAAGGGGGCUAGCGUUGUUCGGAAUUACUGGGCGUAAAGCGCACGUAGGCGGAUAUUUAAGUCAGGGGUGAAAUCCCAGAGCUCAACUCUGGAACUGCCUUUGAUACUGGGUAUCUUGAGUAUGGAAGAGGUAAGUGGAAUUGCGAGUGUAGAGGUGAAAUUCGUAGAUAUCUGGAGGAACACCGGUGGCGAAGGCGGCAUCCUGGACCAAUACUGACGCUGAGGAGCGAAAGCCAGGGGAGCAAACGGG
rnacentral:rRNA from 1 species